rnacentral:misc_RNA from 1 species
UUCUUCCUCUCAGAAAAAAUUACAAGGUCGUGAUACCUAGAGAGAAAUAAAAAUAAAUAAGACGGUAGUAUAGACAGUGUAGCAAGGAAAAAAGACGCGAAUAAUGAAAACAAGGUCGACGACACGACAUCGAAGAAAUAGAGAAUUGUAUUAGAGGGUGGAAACUUGGACAAAACCACAGACAAGCGUGUUCAAACGGAUGAAAUGAGUACAUCGAAGAUAAACCGAAGAAAGCUGAAGGAGAAAAGUUCAGGAGACAAAGUACGGUUGAUGAAAUUGAAACGAGUGGUCGAUAUAAAGUUACAGCCGACACGCAAUCGAUCAUAGGACAACAAUUGGGAACUGACAAUUGAUAAUCAGUCCCGGGGACACACGAUGCACGCUUCAUUCGCGAAGUUAUCCACGUAUUACGGAGCCCAUCUCAUCAAUCGUAACCAAUAAAUGCGACGGCCGAGCAGUGUGCGACUCUGCGUUCGGAUAAUUUCACAUCUAUUAACUAGACUGCAAAUCGAACGAGCUGAAAUUCACUUCGAAAUCCGCUGCUUUGCAACGUAAACAGUACCGUGCCAUCUGCGAUUCAGCUAAUUUAUACAAUUAUCCUUUGAACAGCAUUGAUAUUCUUGUCGUUAAGGCAUAUCGAACAACGCUGCAUCGUUCGAUUGUAACAAGUACGAUGUAUGCGUGUGUACGAUGGUUGUAUGAUUAUACUUUUAUUGGAUAAAUUUGUAAUAUGUAAUUUAAAUCGUUAUGUACUUCAAAGCGAUACAUAUAUUUAUUCAAUGGGAAAAUAAUAUCGAUUUUUCACUGUACGGAUGUCUAUACGAAUUAUGCUACCAUAAGUAAAACUAAAGAAAUGGAACA